AUUGAACGCUGGCGGCAGGCCUAACACAUGCAAGUCGAACGAGUGGCGGACGGGUGAGUAAUGUCUGGGAAACUGCCUGAUGGAGGGGUAUAACUACUGGAAACGGUAGCUAAUCCCGCAUACCAUCGGAUGUGCCCAGAUGGGAUUAGCUAGUAGGUGGGGCAACGGCUCCCCGAGGCGACGCUCCCUAGCUGGUCUGAGAGGAUGACCAGCCAAACUGGAACUGAGACACGGGCCAGACUCCUACGGGAGGCAGCAGUGGGGAAUAUUGCACAAUGGGCGCAAGCCUGAUGCAGCCAUGCCGCGUGUAUGAAGAAGGCCUUCGGGUUGUAAAGUACUUUCAGCGGGGAGGCGUUACCCGCAGAAGAAGCACCGGCGAACUCCGUGCCAGCAGCCGCGGUAAUUC
rnacentral:rRNA from 1 species